GGGUUGUGAGGUUAAGCGACUAAGCGUACACGGUGGAUGCCCUGGCAGUCAGAGGCGAUGAAGGGCGUGCUAAUCUGCGAUAAGCGCCGGUAAGGUGAUAUGAACCGUUAUAACCGGCGAUACCCGAAUGGGGAAACCCAGUGUGAUUCGUCACACUAUCAUUAACUGAAUCCAUAGGUUAAUGAGGCGAACCGGGGGAACUGAAACAUCUAAGUACCCCGAGGAAAAGAAAUCAACCGAGAUUCCCCCAGUAGCGGCGAGCGAACGGGGAGGAGCCCAGAGCCUGAAUCAGCAUGUGUGUUAGUGGAAGCGUCUGGAAAGGCGCGCGAUACAGGGUGACAGCCCCGUACACAAAAGCGCAUGUGCUGUGAGCUCGAUGAGUAGGGCGGGACACGUGGUAUCCUGUCUGAAUAUGGGGGGACCAUCCUCCAAGGCUAAAUACUCCUGACUGACCGAUAGUGAACCAGUACCGUGAGGGAAAGGCGAAAAGAACCCCGGCGAGGGGAGUGAAAAAGAACCUGAAACCGUGUACGUACAAGCAGUGGGAGCACCCUUUGGGG
rnacentral:rRNA from 4 species